UGAGUAUCCUGGAACUCUGUAGACCAGGCUGGCCUCAAACUCAGAGAUCUACCUGCCUCUGUGUCCUCAAUGCAGGGACAAGUGCCACCUGGCACCACCUGGCAUCUGAUUAACUUGUUAAAACAUCUAAAUAGCACCUUGGAAGUCCCCAGAGUUUCAUUAUUGCCCAAAAAAGUAUGGUAGAAAAACAUGAAUAAGGUCAAGUUCAAGAAGCCUUUGUUUGGCAGCUCAAGUGAAAGUACUGGAGAAGUGAAGGCCAUUGCCUUGACCCGAACUGAGAGGGGUUGUAUGAUAGGAAAGCGUAGGGGCAGUUUUGGCUAUCAGCUGCAGAAUGCCAAAGAUUAAACUCUAGCCCAGUACCUACAAUAGAACAACAAAGUAAAAACUGGAUCAUUAUAAUGGUGGUACUGAGUGGUUUCUGGCUGAGUGCCUAUCCACACUAGAGAAUCAAUAGGAAUCAAUAGAGAUGGAGUGGACCAAGGACUCCAGAUCAUAGUCAAAGUCCUCGAAGGACAUGGACUCCAGUGGACUAGGCCAGGUAUCUUGUUUCUCCAUGACAAAGUUCACUGGCUGCUUCUGUAGGAGCUCAGGGUCAAAGGCUACACCCCGAAAGAACGGGUGGACCUGGAAGUGAUGCAGGUAUCGUAGACGAUGCAGAGGGUUCUGGCAUAAGAGCUGAAAGAAAACAAAGUUGUUUGAGACUGGGAUAAGAAAGAGACUGAACAGAGAUGAUGCCAAAGGAACAAAUCGUUCAUGGAGCUGCGGAGGGCAGGCAAGUCCUGAAGCAUAGAUUUGUAAAAGAGAAGCAUGGUGAUUGGAGAUUGGGAGGGCUGGUGAAGAAAAAGGAAAUGGCUUUGGAUUUUCAGAUGAUAAGGCAGCACUGGCCUGUGCUCUUCAAAAGGACGACCUGUCUGUCCUGCCUGAGGAUUUAGGGUGUCAGAAGCUCAGGAAUGAAAUCCACAGUAACAGUUAGAGGGGAAAUGGUGAGUCAGCCAUCUCAAUCCCCAUCCAAAAGGGGGGUGGGUGGGAAACAGCACUUCAAUGAAAAGAUGAUGGAUAGUUUGGGAGUCAAAAAGGAAGAUAGUGUAUGCUUACCUCAUGGAGCAGGAGUGAGAGCUCCUGAUUAAUAGACGCUGGGAUCUCAGAUUCACAGUGGGCCACACUUGCCAACAUAGCCACAUGAUCUCUCUCUGCAGCCACUGGAAACUGAGUUAAAGGGUGGGAAGGCAAGGCUUUCUAAGGUCUUUUUCCACCACAAAGCAAAACUCUCUUCCCUGUUCAACACCACUAACCAUUCUCUCACCUUACCAGUUGCCAGAGAGAAAAGCAACACACCCAGGGACCACCAGUCAGCAGUGUGGUUGUAAGGCCCACCACUCAGGACCUCUGGGGCUGUGGCACGAAAGAGCUGCUAGCUGGAGAAGGUAGUCUACUCAGCACUCAAGCCUAUACUUGGAGGACCCACACCCAAAUCCUUCGCAUCCAUAGGAACCCAAAUAACCGUCUCUGCUUCCUACUGCCUUCUCAGAUCUGUGGAAACUUCUUGAGAUCCUUGCUCAACUUAAGAGAAAAGACUUAACUCUACCUUUACAUCACGGUGGAUGAUACCCAAGUCGUGGAGAUAGCCUGUGGAGAACAGUGGGCAUGGGUGUGUCUGCCAGUUUCUUUGUAGCCCCUAUCUCUCCUCUAUCCUGACUUCCAAAAUUAAAUAUUAAUUCUGUUUCUCCUCCCCACUAACUUAAUUUCCCCCUUUUUAUUUCCUUUACCACAUUUGCACUUACACAGUAC
rnacentral:lncRNA from 1 species